AGAAAUUAUUAACGAAACUUAAUCUCAAAAAUCGUUCGACAACGCAGAUGAUUCUUCAAUAUCAAUUAUUAAUUAUUACAAUUAUAUAUUCGUCAACCAUUCAUUCUCUAAUAAAUAGAAUAAAAGAUGGAUAAGGAAAGAAAUAGAGAACUUCAUCGAAGAAAUUAUUGGACAUCACCAUCAACGUUUCAUAUCUGAAUUAGAGAUGCUUCUUAGAAGCUUGGCACAACAGGCGCUUCGGAUGCUGUACUCGCCAAAUUCUUUGGCUUGCAGACGCAACCACUCUCAACCAGCACGUAAUCCUGACCGGUUAGGGUCACCGGCCCCAAAGGAAUCACCAAAAACAGAGAAAGGAAGACUCGAUCGAUAUUCGUUUUCGAUUAUAUCAUAAAAAGGAUUUAUUUAACAUCAACCUGUAUUCGAAAAAUAAUUGAAGAGUAGGCCAAAGUAUGUUAUUUACGAACAUUAAGUAUCGUAGAACGUAUCUGGCCUAGUGUGCUACAUUUGAAAUAAAACGAAUCGCUGACAGAA